rnacentral:sRNA from 1 species
AUCUAGCCCUGACAGAAGCGACAUCUCCCGAUUUUUCAUCGGGAAUACAGCGGAUGGCAGGAAUAGGG